rnacentral:misc_RNA from 1 species
GAAAUGCGAUAAGUAAUGUGAAUUGCAGAAUUCAGUGAAUCAUCGAAUCUUUGAACGCACAUUGCGCCCGCCAGUAUUCUGGCGGGCAUGCCUGUUCGAGCGUCAUUACAACCCUCAGGCCCCCGGGCCUGGCGUUGGGGAUCGGCGGAAGCCCCCUGCGGGCACAACGCCGUCCCCCAAAUACAGUGGCGGUCCCGCCGCAGCUUCCAUUGCGUAGUAGCUAACACCUCGCAACUGAGAGCGGCGCGGCCACGCCGUAAAACACCCAACUUCUGAAUGUUGACCUCGAAUCAGGUAGGAAUACCCGCUGAACUUAAGC